AACGAACGCUGGCGGCAUGCCUAACACAUGCAAGUCGAACGAAGCCUUCGGGCUUAGUGGCGCACGGGUGCGUAACGCGUGGGAAUCUGCCCCUUGCUUCGGAAUAACAGUUAGAAAUGACUGCUAAUACCGGAUGAAGUCUUCGGACCAAAGAUUUAUCGGCAAGGGAUGAGCCCGCGUAGGAUUAGGUCGUUGGUAGGGUAAAGGCCUACCAAGCCGACGAUCCUUAGCUGGUCUGAGAGGAUGAUCAGCCACACUGGGACUGAGACACGGCCCAGAAUCCUACGGGAGGGGGCAGUGGGGAAUAUUGGACAAUGGACGCAAGGCUGAUCCAGCAAUGCCGCGUGAGUGAUGAAGGCCUUAGGGUUGUAAAGCUCUUUUACCAGGGAUGAUAAUGACGGUACCUGGAGAAUAAGCUCCGGCUAACUCCGUG
rnacentral:rRNA from 1 species